rnacentral:rRNA from 1 species
UUAAGCGACUAAGCGUACACGGUGGAUGCCCUGGCAGUCAGAGGCGAUGAAGGACGUGCUAAUCUGCGAUAAGCGUCGGUAAGGUGAUAUGAACCGUUAUAACCGGCGAUUUCCGAAUGGGGAAACCCAGUGUGAUUCGUCACACUAUCAUUAACUGAAUCCAUAGGUUAAUGAGGCGAACCGGGGGAACUGAAACAUCUAAGUACCCCGAGGAAAAGAAAUCAACCGAGAUUCCCCCAGUAGCGGCGAGCGAACGGGGAGCAGCCCAGAGCCUGAAUCAGUGUGUGUGUUAGUGGAAGCGUCUGGAAAGGCGCGCGAUACAGGGUGACAGCCCCGUACACAAAAAUGCACAUGCUGUGAGCUCGAUGAGUAGGGCGGGACACGUGGUAUCCUGUCUGAAUAUGGGGGGACCAUCCUCCAAGGCUAAAUACUCCUGACUGACCGAUAGUGAACCAGUACCGUGAGGGAAAGGCGAAAAGAACCCCGGCGAGGGGAGUGAAAAAGAACCUGAAACCGUGUACGUACAAGCAGUGGGAGCACGCUUAGGCGUGUGACUGCGUACCUUUUGUAUAAUGGGUCAGCGACUUAUAUUCUGUAGCAAGGUUAACCGAAUAGGGGAGCCGAAGGGAAACCGAGUCUUAACUGGGCGUUAAGUUGCAGGGUAUAGACCCGAAACCCGGUGAUCUAGCCAUGGGCAGGUUGAAGGUUGGGUAACACUAACUGGAGGACCGAACCGACUAAUGUUGAAAAAUUAGCGGAUGACUUGUGGCUGGGGGUGAAAGGCCAAUCAAACCGGGAGAUAGCUGGUUCUCCCCGAAAGCUAUUUAGGUAGCGCCUCGUGAAUUCAUCUCCGGGGGUAGAGCACUGUUUCGGCAAGGGGGUCAUCCCGACUUACCAACCCGAUGCAAACUGCGAAUACCGGAGAAUGUUAUCACGGGAGACACACGGCGGGUGCUAACGUCCGUCGUGAAGAGGGAAACAACCCAGACCGCCAGCUAAGGUCCCAAAGUCAUGGUUAAGUGGGAAACGAUGUGGGAAGGCCCAGACAGCCAGGAUGUUGGCUUAGAAGCAGCCAUCAUUUAAAGAAAGCGUAAUAGCUCACUGGUCGAGUCGGCCUGCGCGGAAGAUGUAACGGGGCUAAACCAUGCACCGAAGCUGCGGCAGCGACGCUGAUGCGUUGUUGGGUAGGGGAGCGUUCUGUAAGCCUGUGAAGGUGUGCUGUGAGGCAUGCUGGAGGUAUCAGAAGUGCGAAUGCUGACAUAAGUAACGAUAAAGCGGGUGAAAAGCCCGCUCGCCGGAAGACCAAGGGUUCCUGUCCAACGUUAAUCGGGGCAGGGUGAGUCGACUCCUAAGGCGAGGCCGAAAGGCGUAGUCGAUGGGAAACAGGUUAAUAUUCCUGUACUUGGUGUUACUGCGAAGGGGGGACGGAGAAGGCUAUGUUGGCCGGGCGACGGUUGUCCCGGUUUAAGCGUGUAGGCUGGUUUUCCAGGCAAAUCCGGAAAAUCAAGGCUGAGGCGUGAUGACGAGGCACUACGGUGCUGAAGCAACAAAUGCCCUGCUUCCAGGAAAAGCCUCUAAGCAUCAGGUAACAUCAAAUCGUACCCCAAACCGACACAGGUGGUCAGGUAGAGAAUACCAAGGCGCUUGAGAGAACUCGGGUGAAGGAACUAGGCAAAAUGGUGCCGUAACUUCGGGAGAAGGCACGCUGAUAUGUAGGUGAAGUCCCUCGCGGAUGGAGCUGAAAUCAGUCGAAGAUACCAGCUGGCUGCAACUGUUUAUUAAAAACACAGCACUGUGCAAACACGAAAGUGGACGUAUACGGUGUGACGCCUGCCCGGUGCCGGAAGGUUAAUUGAUGGGGUCAGCGCAAGCGAAGCUCUUGAUCGAAGCCCCGGUAAACGGCGGCCGUAACUAUAACGGUCCUAAGGUAGCGAAAUUCCUUGUCGGGUAAGUUCCGACCUGCACGAAUGGCGUAAUGAUGGCCAGGCUGUCUCCACCCGAGACUCAGUGAAAUUGAACUCGCUGUGAAGAUGCAGUGUACCCGCGGCAAGACGGAAAGACCCCGUGAACCUUUACUAUAGCUUGACACUGAACAUUGAGCCUUGAUGUGUAGGAUAGGUGGGAGGCUUUGAAGUGUGGACGCCAGUCUGCAUGGAGCCGACCUUGAAAUACCACCCUUUAAUGUUUGAUGUUCUAACGUUGACCCGUAAUCCGGGUUGCGGACAGUGUCUGGUGGGUAGUUUGACUGGGGCGGUCUCCUCCUAAAGAGUAACGGAGGAGCACGAAGGUUGGCUAAUCCUGGUCGGACAUCAGGAGGUUAGUGCAAUGGCAUAAGCCAGCUUGACUGCGAGCGUGACGGCGCGAGCAGGUGCGAAAGCAGGUCAUAGUGAUCCGGUGGUUCUGAAUGGAAGGGCCAUCGCUCAACGGAUAAAAGGUACUCCGGGGAUAACAGGCUGAUACCGCCCAAGAGUUCAUAUCGACGGCGGUGUUUGGCACCUCGAUGUCGGCUCAUCACAUCCUGGGGCUGAAGUAGGUCCCAAGGGUAUGGCUGUUCGCCAUUUAAAGUGGUACGCGAGCUGGGUUUAGAACGUCGUGAGACAGUUCGGUCCCUAUCUGCCGUGGGCGCUGGAGAAUUGAGGGGGGCUGCUCCUAGUACGAGAGGACCGGAGUGGACGCAUCACUGGUGUUCGGGUUGUCAUGCCAAUGGCACUGCCCGGUAGCUAAAUGCGGAAGAGAUAAGUGCUGAAAGCAUCUAAGCACGAAACUUGCCCCGAGAUGAGUUCUCCCUGACUCCUUGAGAGUCCUGAAGGAACGUUGAAGACGACGACGUUGAUAGGCCGGGUGUGUAAGCGCAGCGAUGCGUUGAGCUAACCGGUACUAAUGAACCGUGAGGCUUAACCUU